rnacentral:lncRNA from 1 species
AUCACUGUAUUAAUUAAGAACAUCGCAACAAGGUCCAGAUCAUGCAUUUUUUGUUCAAAAAGACAUGUGGUCACUGUCCACUGAGCUGAUCUCACGGCCCGAUAAAAAGAUGAUGCAGCGCCUGGCUGAAGGGGGCUAGUCACCUGAAAUCUGCUGCCUUGGGUGGGGGUGUGCCACUGACCACUGUCACGGACUUUGUCUAUGCUGUGCCAGUGGGUGAUCCUUCACAAAAAAAAAGGAAACAGGAAACAGAAAGAUGAGCUAUAUAUGUUAUGAAACGACCACGUGUACAGAAUUCGAUGACAAAACAAAGGCUCCACACCAUAACGGACCCCCAUCAAAUGCAACAUUUACUAACUCUUAAUGAAUCUCACUAUAUUUAAUUUACUGCAAGCAUGCAGCGGCACAAGGUACAGUAUGGUAGCAAAACAAGUAAAUCAAAUGCAUGUCUGUCUUGAGGAACUAUCCGUGUUAUAUCAAUCUUUGACCAUAGCAUAAAGCAUGCAUCUCAGCCUUUCUCAAGUGCCCAUCAAACACGAAUGCAC